rnacentral:rRNA from 1 species
GAUGAACGCUAGCGGGAGGCCUAACACAUGCAAGCCGAGCGGUAGAGAUUCUUCGGAAUCUUGAGAGCGGCGUACGGGUGCGGAACACGUGUGCAACCUGCCUUUAUCAGGGGGAUAGCCUUUCGAACGGAAGAUUAAUACCCCAUAAUAUAUUUGAUGGCAUCCUUAGAUUUUGAAAGCUUUGGCGGAUAGAGAUGGGCACGCGCAAGAUUAGAUAGUUGGUUAGGUAACGGCUCACCAAGUCGAUGAUCUUUAGGGGGCCUGAGGGGGUGAUCCCCCACACUGGUACUGCGACACGGACCAGACUCCUACGGGAGGGAGCAGUGAGGAAUAUUGGACAAUGGGUUAGCGCCUGAUCCAGCCAUCCCGCGUGAAGGACGACGGCCCUAUGGGUUGUCAACUUCUUUUGUACAGGGAUAAACCUACUCUCGGGAGAGUAGCUGAAGGUACUGUACGAAUAAGCACCGGCUAACUCCGUG